rnacentral:tRNA from 1 species
GGGGGUAUAGCUCAGCUGGGAGAGCGCUAGCUUUGCAAGCUAGAUGUCGUGGGUUCGAGUCCCAUUACCUCCACCA